CAUAAAUGCACUACAGUUUGUCUCUUCAUCCUCUAUUAUAGAACAUCUUGGUUGCUUUAAGUUUUUGGUGAUUAUGAAUAAGAUUGCUGUAAACAUUCAUCUGCAGGUUUUUGUGUGCACAUAAAUUUUCAAAACUGUGUAAAUACCUAGGAAUAUGGCAGCUAGAUCACAUGAUAAAACUACUUUUAACUUUAAAAGUAAAAACUGUCUUUCAAAAUAGUUGAGCUAUUUGCAUUGCUGUCAGCCAUGACUGAGUGUUCAUAUUGCUCAGCACUGUCACUGGCAUUUGAUUUCAUGUUUGUUUGUUUGUUUUAAUUUUAGCAACUUUAAUAGAUGUGUAAUGGUAUUUCAUUGCUGUUUUGUUUAUAAUUUCUUAAAGAUACUUGAUAUAUCUUUUCCUAUGCUUAUAAGUCAUCUGUAUAAUUUUCUUCACUGAGCUGUAUUCAGAUCUUUUGCCCAUUUUUAAAUGUGUUGUAUGUUUAUUGUUGAGUUUUUGAGUUAAUUUUUGCAAAAGACCCAAAAUGUCUAUCAGUUUGUUUUUUAUUUUGUUUGCUUUUGUUUUACCUACUGAUGUCCAGUUGUUCCAGGUCCAUUUAUUUAAAAGACCAUCCAUUCUCUUUUGGAAUUUCCAUUACUUCUUUGUCAAAGAUCAGUUGACUAUAUUUUGGUGGGUCUAUUUCUGGGCUCUCUAUUCUACUGAUAUGUUUGUCUAUUCUUUCACUAUACCACAUUGUUGUGCAUAUUGUAGCUUUAUGGUGAAUCUUGAAGUUGUUAAUGUCAGUCUUUUGACCUUUUCUUUGGUGUUGUGUUAGCUAUUUUGGAUCUGUUGACUUUCCACAUAAACCCUAGAAUAAGUUUAUUAAUAUCUACAAAAUAACCUGCAGAAAUUUUGACUGGGGUUGUGUUGGAUUUGUAAUUUAUUUUGGGAAGAAAUUACAUUUUAAUGAGUCCUUCUUUCCAUGAACAUAGACUGUCCUUAUUUAUUUAGAUUGUAAUUUUUUAUUGAGUUUUCUAGUUUUCUUCCCAUAUAUCCUGUACAUAAUUUGUUUGGUAUGUACAUGGUAUUUCUUUCUCACUCUCUUUUCUUGGCAUUAAUAUAAAUAAUACUGUGUUUUAAUUAUAAAUUAUAAUUGUUCAUUGCUAAUAUACAAGAAAACAGCUGAUUUUGUAUAUUAACCUUUUAUUCUAUAACCAUGUUGUAAUUACUUUUUACAGUUUUUUGGUUUCAGCUAAUUGAUUAGAUUCAUCCUGGGAAAUUCAUGUUUCCUCUUGUGUAUAGCUGCAACAUCUCCACACAAUAUGUUUUUAGCUGGAACCUGAAACGCUGCAUGAUUUCACAUUUAACCAGUGAUUUGGGCAGAAACUAUGCAGAAGCACCUCAAACCGAAAUUACCGCAGCCACCCCACGUUCAGCAACCCUGACUGGGAGGAAGCUAUCAACAUCAAGGCAAGGUCUCUACCAGCAAAAAGACUGCAACUCACUGAAGGCUCAGGCAUUGAUUGAGAGAAUACACUCAAGUGAAGCUUCUGCACUCUAAUCAUCAUCUCAGAGUGCUUCCUGGGAAAUCCAACCUGUGACCCCUUCCUGGUCCCUACUCCCUGGGCUCUACUCUCCCCCACAGCAGUUAGCUGUCACCAAGGAGGCUCAUACAGAGAUAAUCAGCAAGGAUUGGAAGUUGGCUAAUAUAACUGACAUCGGUAACACCAUUCAAAACUAAGAGCCAGUGUCAAGAUCCUGGAUACCCUUCCUGCCUUUACUCCCAAAGUAGCCUUUUCAUAGAUCCGGGUAACACUUGAGCCCUCAAUCCAAGAUUAAAAACAUCUGCUGGAGAAAUUGUCAAACAGUCUUGGAACACUUAGUCAAAUUCACAGGGACUCCAUCUGGGACUGGUGAUACUUGCUGCUUUCAUAUCUUUAAUUGUUUCUAGCACCUCCAUAGAUCAAAGUCCUCUCUGUAAUGCGUCCUUUCCAUCAUGCCAUAUUUACCCAUUUUAUAUCAAAAUGUAUAAUCUUGACCAUCUGCUUUCAUAGGGGAAUAUAAAUCUUUAUCAAACUAGAUUAAGUAACAUUUUUCAGCUAAGUGUGCCUAUAUUUUCUUAUGUGCAAAUUUCAGAAAAUAAUCCCCUCUUUCAUGGCAUGCUUUAAAUUUAGAAACAGGCUUCCUGGGUUUUUCUAACUGUGAAGCAUUUUUAUAUGGUCCUUUGUUCCUGAAUUUCAACAUUCAAAGAAAGUAAUUUUUUUUAAAUCUUCUGUACCAGAAUUAAAUAUAUGCUCUUAUAACACAUAUCAUACAGUCUUGGUUAUAAUUUUGUACCUGUUUGCAAAUCUAUGUCAUGUCAUGAAACUAUAAAUAUCUAAAAGACAUUAAGUUUUAAAAAUGUACUUUGUCUAAUGUCUUACUCAUAGUAGAUAAUGAAUUAUACUGAUAAUGAAUUAUGUUAUUUUAUGUUUAAUAAGAAUUAUGUUAAAGUGUUGUAUUAAAAUGAAAAAUAGUAAAUCAGCUAAAUGUGACAGAACACUAAUAGAAGGCUAAAAUUAUUACCCCCAUACAAAAAUAUUGUGUAAUAAUCUGAUUUAUACAAAUUAAUAUAUCACUGUUAUUCGUACAUAAGCUGCUAUAAAACAUUA